rnacentral:rRNA from 1 species
UAGGGAAUCUUCGGCAAUGGGGGGAACCCUGACCGAGCAACGCCGCGUGUGUGAAGAAGGUUUUCGGAUCGUAAAGCUCUGUUGUUAAGGAAGAACGAGUGUGAGAAUGGAAAGUUCAUACUGUGACGGUACUUAACCAGAAAGGGACGGCUAACUACGUGCCAGCAGCCGCGGUAAUACGUAGGUCCCGAGCGUUGUCCGGAUUUAUUGGGCGUAAAGCGAGCGCAGGCGGUUAGAUAAGUCUGAAGUUAAAGGCAGUGGCUCAACCAUUGUAGGCUUUGGAAACUGUUUAACUUGAGUGCAGAAGGGGAGGGUGGAAUUCCAUGUGUGGCGAUGAAAUGCGUAGAUAUAUGGAGGAACACCGGUGGCGAAAGCGGCUCUCUGGACUGUAACUGACGCUGAGGCUCGAAAGCGUGGGGAGCGAACAGG